rnacentral:rRNA from 1 species
AUUUGGGCUAACACUGGGCAAACAUGUCUGACCUCAGAAGCUAAGUAAGGUUAGGCUUGGUUAGUAUUUAGAUGGGAGAUCGUCUGGAAAUACCAGAUGCCACAGGGU